GCCGUGGUGGUGGAAUUGGUAUACACGCACGACUUAAAAUCGUGUCCCUUUAUGGGAUGUGGGUUCGAGUCCCACCCGCGGCA
rnacentral:tRNA from 1 species